UACGGAGGGUGCGAGCGUUGUCCGGAAUCACUGGGCGUAAAGCGCACGUAGGCGGCUUUGCAAGUCCGAUGUGAAAUCCCACGGCUCAACCAUGGAAGUGCAUCGGAAACUGCAGAGCUUGAGUACAAAAGAGGAUCGCGGAAUUCCCGGUGUAGAGGUGAAAUUCGUAGAUAUCGGGAGGAACACCAGUGGCGAAGGCGGCGAUCUGGGUUGAUACUGACGCUGAGGUGCGAAAGCGUGGGGAGCAAACAGG
rnacentral:rRNA from 1 species